rnacentral:rRNA from 1 species
CCGUAGCCCAAGAGAUCGGGAUAACACCUGGAAACAGAUGCUAAUACCGGAUAACAACAGAUGAUGCCUAUCAACUGUUUAAAAGAUGGUUCUGCUAUCACUCUUGGAUGGACCUGCGGUGCAUUAGCUAGUUGGUAGGGUAACGGCCUACCAAGGCGAUGAUGCAUAGCCGAGUUGAGAGACUGAUCGGCCACAUUGGGACUGAGACACGGCCCAAACUCCUACGGGGAGGCAGCAGAU